rnacentral:rRNA from 1 species
GUUAAUAAGAAUUUUACGGUCCACUUCUAAAGUGUGAACUAAAAAUCUUAUUUCCUUCCUUCUAGAUUUACUCCCUUUAUUACUUGUAAUAUUGGGAUAAAAGUAAUCUAGAUCUUUUACUGUGAAGAAAUUAGAGUGUUCAAAGCAGGCGUAACCUAGCCUUUGAAUAUAUUAGCAUGGGAUAAUGAAAUAGGACUUGAGUUCUACUUUCGUUGGUUUCUAGGGCUUAAGUA